CUCAGGGACAGAGAGUCGGCGAGCAGCAGCAGCAGCAGCAGCCACGCUUCUUUCCCUCCCUCCUUCUCACAGGAAGGCAACAGCAGCAGAGAGGGAGCGUAGGCAAGGUUUAUCUCAGGCUGCGCAUGGGUGGAGCUGGCCAUUUGUUGCUGUCAUCCAGCAUGUCCGCUAUCUCCUCCUUUGUGCUUGAGUGUGCCCAUGCCGGGCGGUGGGUGCGUGGGCUGAUGGCCCUGCAGGAACAACACCUGUCUACUGAGCCGUGCAUACGUGUCGCAUGCGUUGCGCUCGCCCAGGCUGCGGCGCCGCACUCGUGGGCAGCAGCGCUUUGUUUACUCCGCCCAUCAGACGCGCUUCGACACCCGCGGGAGGUGUGCAAGACGGUGGACACCAUCGCCCGCCAUGCGGAGCUGCCUAUUGAGGUUUUCGAGAGUUCGAUGGAGUCUUUCCUGCUGUCACUGCAGCAGCUUUCCCAGAGCAGUAGCCACCCAGCGUCAGGCUCGUCUAGGCAGUUGGCAUCGAUUGGACCGUUUGAGGGCUUGAGACUGGCGACGCCCAGCACCCCCAUCCAGCGACAAGUGUUUCUAAGUGCGACGCAGUGGUGUGGGUGGGAGACAGCGGCACGAUUGCUCGCCUGCCUGCCGUCGCCUCUCCCUCGAGCAUGUGUGGAGCGGGUGCAGGAGCUGCGCACGCUCCGGCACCGCAUCUUACGCGACGUCGGGCCUUUCUGCCACUGGGGAAGCCGUGCCGCUGUGUCCUCUGUCAUCGACAGUGCCGAGGGGCCGCUGCCCACCUCCCCUCAGGAGACGUCGUUGGCGGAGCAGUUGGAAAGGAUGGAGCCGUCUCCUGCGCGGCGCUACUCCGCACGCGAUCGGCGUGAGCUCUCUUGGCUGCGUGACCACAAGCGCCAGCGGCUCCUGCAGCGCACGAGGGAGAAGGAGAACAUGCUAACGCGGCAGGCGGCAGAGGAUGUAGCUCCAUCCGCGCUGAGCGUGUGCGCGGCGUUGCGCGCGGUGUCGAGACUACCCUCCGCUGCGUCUGUCACAGCACCCAAUGUACUGUGCCGCCAUGUGCUGACACUGGCACAGUCGCGUCGGUUGACUCCAGAUAUCGCGUUGCUUUACGGCCGUGCGGCUGGCCUUUGCACCCCACACUCGUGGGAGGCCACAGUGGAUACGCUAAAUCGCGCUGAGGUGCGCGAUGCCCGGCUACACCGUCAACUGACCACGUGGGUGAUCAGUCGCGGCAGCUGGAGGGCUGCCCUGGAGCGACUUUCGCAGCUUCAUCGCGACACCUCCGGUGCUAUGCCGCAGAGAAGCGGCAAUAACACCGGCGACUUACAUCGCGGAGACGACGCAGCGGCUUCCUUCGACUGCGUCCAGCGCACUGCCGUGCCGGCGUCUUAUCUGCACCGUGCGGUACCGCAAACGUCGCGGCCGUGGUACCGCUUGGUCUCUUCCCGCCACUCCACUGCCUCCUUGCUUCGCCAAAUCGCCGGCGCCCUUGCUGGCGGUGUGCGCCUGGACGAGGUACAGCUGAGUGAGGCGGGGAAGGAGUGGGCGGCACACGGCCGGUGGGAGGCAGCUCUGGCCUUGUACUACCGCUUUCCGCUACCAGAGUUUCAAAAGUAUGCCACGCGCAGCCUCGUGACUGCGCGCCCCGCACUGCCUCCCGUGCCGUCAGUCUCGCACCCUCCCGCGAGCUGCUUGCAGAUAGGGUCUGGCCCCCUCCCUGGCAGCCCUUCCAAGGACAGCGCUGCUUUUUAUGCGUGCACAGUGCUCGAGCUCCUGGUGCCGCGGGAUGGUGUCCGCUACGACCGCGCGUCCCCUCCGCGCCCUGCACCGCCGCUGGGCACUUAUCCUGCGUGCCUGGUGAUCGAUGCGGCUGCGGACUGGUCAGAGGCUGUCGCUGUCUUUCGGGCGUGUGUACGCCGUGGCACUCGGUGCAACCCGCAGCUUCUCAGCACACUGAUGCGCCGCCAGGACUUGCCUCCACAAGAGCUACGUCAGAUUCUGAAGAGCUACCCUGCUGCCGUAAACGAUGGGGUGCGGCGGCGUGCCAAGGAGGGCUUUGGCGUUGAGUGACGCACUCGCGGUGGGGGUUUCGGCGGCGGCAUGCGGCCACUCCACUUUUCACGUAGUCUGCCGCCAGCGCCCGCACGGCUUCGGAUAGGGGCAAAACGGCCCGCCGGAAGGUUACGGGGCUGGGGAAGGAGUACAUGGGAGGAAGACGGCCCGGCACUGCUGCUCUGCCAAACACCGCAGGCCCCUCAUGCCUCCCCAUGCCAUCCCGACUUUGCUGCUUGUCGUGAACGUAGGCACCGUUCUCGUCUGUUGUGCGUUUCUGUACACGACGGCGCGCUGAUGUCACAGUGUUGGAGUUGGCUAUGUAUGUCGCUGACUCGCUCAAGACGAUCAUCUCUCCGCGAUACCGCCGCCCGCCUGCGUGAGGUGUGGUGGUGAAGGGCAUUGUAUGUGGACUGGGUGGAAAGCCAACGACGGCGUUAAUAACAUCAGCAUGCCAUCCGUACGCAGGCGCCGACACUGGCGCACACACUCACGUGGGUGGCGCAUCCGACAUCUGCUGGCAGAGUGUGUACAUCUGCAGUGACGACAAGGGUGCUCUGUGCGUCAUGUGUUCUUGCCUUGACGCUCAUCUGCCUACGUGCACCUCUCCUCUUCGUGAUGUCCCUCUCUCCCCCGGCCAACGCACACACGCACACACAUACGCUUCACCUCCUUUGGUGUUUGCUUGAAGAAGUGCAAUGCUCAAGAAGCCCACGUGAUACGAAUCACCUCGUUCGCUGUCGUAUAAGUGCCCCGUCUCGGAUCCGUUCACGAAUUGCCCCCCCCCCCCCCCCCCCCCGCUUCGCCACCGCCACCGCCCACCAUCAG
rnacentral:misc_RNA from 1 species